rnacentral:rRNA from 1 species
GAGUAACGCGUGGGUAUCUGCCUUGUGGUAGGGAACAACCCAGGGAAACUUGGGCUAAUACCCUAUGAGCCCUUUGGUGCUUUGGUACUGGAGGGGAAAGAUUUAUCGCCAUGAGAGGAGCCCGCGUCGGAUUAGCUUGUUGGUGAGGUAACGGCUCACCAAGGCUUCGAUCCGUAGCUGGUCUGAGAGGAUGAUCAGCCACACUGGGACUGAGACACGGCCCAG